AGCCAUCCAGUGCUCACAUCAGAGAUGCAUUUUUUGCCUUUCUCCUUUGGCAAUCUGACUUUGAGGUCUAACUGGAUUUCUCAGCCCCUCUCCAUGCAUCUGCACAAACUGCUCGGGCUUCAUGCACAUGGGCUCUUCUCUGGACAGCUCCACCUCAUCCAGGGGUCAAUUGGAGGAUCAGACUUUCCUGUAGGGACCCUUUGCUGGCAGCCAUCCCAAGCUGCAGCAGAGCAAGCAGAGAACUCUCCCAGCCUUGGGAGCGCUCUGGCCCAGCCCCUGCCCCCAGACCCGAGGACUACCCAGUGCCCACCGCUCCCCUCCCCCCACAGGCCUCACCUCCCAGCUGCCCACGGACACAUUCCUUCAGUCCACGCUUGCUAAAAGGCCCCCAAGACCAGUAGAACCAGUAUCAUUAUCAACUUAUCAACCCAACAGCAGCACAAAUGAAUCACUGACCCUGGGUCAGCUCUGGGGUUGCAAGAACGGAGAAUAAAAUGUCCUUGUUCGCCGACAUUCUAACGGGGAGAAAGCACGGGCGUGGAACGCUGCAGAAGCCACAAAUACACAGGGAAGAAGAACAAGGUGGAACGGAGAAUGCUAAAGGAAGGGAGGGGUCUUCACGCAGAAGGCCGGGUGUGAGCCGCAUUUUGGAGGAGGAGACGAGGAGUGACAGUCUCGUAGCCUUGGGGAAUGGCCUUUGAGAAAGGAGGGGAGGGCAUGAGUGGGACAGAGGGAGGGACAUGAAGAAUGUGGGAGGGAGAGCCAUGUCCAGUGAGGCUGGGGGGGAGGGGGAGGCAAACAGAAGCUUCGUGUUACCCCGGAGGGCUUUAGAAAAGUCACCUGGCAGCUCAGGAGGAUGGGCUAGAAUGAGGAGGCAGGAAAAUCUGGUAAUAAGCCCUUGUCAUAAUCCGGGGGCAGGGACGGCCACCCCCUCCUACCCUUCUAGUCUUUUUUCAUCUUACCCGCCAUGAUGGACUCUGACCCAGCCAUAGGUUGGGUUCCUCUAACAAGACCAUGUGUCUGCCCUGGCUCCUCCUCACCUUGGCCUCCAACCUUCCCUGGCUUCCUCUAAAACUCAGCUUAAAUCCCUUCUUCAAGGGAAUUCCUCAGGCCUCCCUCCUCCCCAAUUAAUCCCUACCCUCCAAAAUGGGCCCAUUUAUACUGUGUAUUUUUUUUAUUUAUUUUAUUAAAGCUUCUUAUUGACAAAA